AGCUGAGCGCGGACCGCCCGCCCCCUCCAGCGGGCCCUGACGGGGAGGAGCCAGGCAGGAGGGGGUGGGGGGGCGCUCCCUCAGUUUCUUACAGAUCUUUGGCAUAUACUGAACAUGAGUUUUAGAAGUACUUGGUGUAAUAAUGCUACAGACAUUAAAGCUUUGUUCACUAAGAGCCAUAGUCCAGCCAGACUACUGCAAAAGUACAAGGUUGUCCAAUGAGGCAUGCAUGGAUAUCUAAAGUCUAAAGCAGGAUCCUCUAAGGUAGUUUUGGUGUGUUGGCCAGCAUCCCUUUUUGCUGUUGUGCAAUCGCACCACCUGGUGGCUACAGUUAUUGCAACCGUUCUGCUCCUGUGACAGACCUGCAGCUGAGUAGCUUGGAACUAAAGACCAGGAAAAAAAAUUCCAUCUGUUGUCUUAAGAGAAGUUUACAGCCUAAUUAUGAGUCAGCCCAGAAUACUUAAGGUAUUUUAAAUCCUCAAAUAUAGAGGCUUCAGUGAUGAAACGGGUUCUGUCUUUGGCACUCAUGCGAAGUCUGCUCAUCUUUACUGGGGCUUAAAGCACUC